rnacentral:lncRNA from 1 species
UGGGACGGACGAUCACAGGACUGGAGAUAUACGAUUGUACUGAUCUCACGGCCGGCAGCCUGGAGCCCCUCACCAGGUGCCGUGAGCUGCAGGACCUAUCAGUCACCGCUGCCGACCUCCCGCUACUGAGGGGGCAGCUGCCGGAGGGUCUCAGACGCCUCAAUGUCAGAGGGCCGGAGGUGACGGAGCCGAGGUGGCCGGGAUGGUACUGGGGCGGUCUGUUAGUGUCGCUCCAGGGGGUGGCUGCCGACACCAUCAGUCACCUGCCUGACCUGGGACGGAGGGUCACACGACUGGAGAUAUACGAUUGUACUGAUCAUACGGCCGGCAGCCUGGAGCCCCUCACCAGGUGCCCUGAGCUGCGAUGCCUAUCAGUCACCGCCGCCGACCUUCCGCGACUGAGGGGGCAGCUGCCGGAGGGCCUCAUACUCCUCAAUGUCAGAGGUGAUAUACCACGGAUCACACAUGUAAUGCUGGUAUAUGCAAAUGAACAGGGGAGACGGCAAAUGGACGAACUGAUCAGCCUCAACUAGCAAGUUUCGUCGUUAAUCGUGUAUAUUACUCGUCUCGUAUUGUGGUGAGAGGGGGAAGGGGUUCAAUGCACGCCCUUCGAUAGUGUCCAUGCUUGUGGCAUAUGCGUGGAAUAUUAGUGUAACGUCACGGGGUGAUUUAAAAGUUGAGGUACUAGCGAUAGUUGCAUUGUCACAAGCAGCAAAUUUCCGAACAAAAGUAUUGAGUAUUAGUGCGAAUUCGGCAUCCGGAAAAUCAGGGAUAAUUUUCCGGGAUCAACGGGAUCAUUCGGUGUUUUAGGCUGACACCGUGCACAACGCACAUGCCAAUGAGUAAAAGAGCCAUUACUGAAGCAAAAGCAAUAUAAAAAUAUGACUUUUUGCAUCGAUAGUCCUUGCAAUACCAAAUUAUUACCGGUGAUCCGGGAUAAUUAUCCCUCAUUUUCCGGAUGUCGAACGCACGCCUGAUCGACAACUGACACUGACUGACUACAUAGAGAGAGCUCGCUGACGACGAGUCUGAGCAGACUGACUGGCCCCGACUGGCCGCGGCCCUGGCGCGGCGGUUAUACACAGUAUAGGUGUCGCCACGAUCGAAGGCGGCCAGCACGGGAAUGCAGGCAUUGUUACGAUUAGAGAGCAAGUAGGUACCAUUGUUAUAUCAUCGUCUGUGUCCAUAAAACCAUGCGAAUUCAUAGCUGUUUCGUUUUUUUCCAUAUAUUGACAUAUAUUACAGCCAACUGAUCCUGUCUGUAUAUGUGUCUGUGUGUUUUCCAGAUUGUACUGAUCUCACGACCGGCAGCCUGGAAACCCUCACUAGGUGCCCUGAGCUGCGGUAUCUCACCCUGUCCGGCGGCGUCCCUGACACCGUGAGCCUGGAGCCCCUCACCAGGUGCCCUGAGCUGCAGUAUCUCACCCUGUCCGGCGGCGUCCCUGACUCCGUGCUGGACAGUCUCAGCGGCUGCCCCGGGCUGUUGUUCCUUACACUGGGGGACCGCCAGCGGCCGGCAGAGACGGCCUUCACAGCAGCAGCGGUCACCAGACUGGUGAAGUCGUGUCGGAAGCUGUGCCAUCUGUACCUUCACUGCACGGCAGACACCGGCCGGGCCGUGCUGACCGCCCUGAAGGAGGCGGACCUGCGGGACAGUAAUGGCUGGACCCGUACCAUCCGUCUCAGUGUCCCCGGUAGGUGAGAGGGCGCCGCGCGCCGCGCCUCUGACCAGUCAGUCCCUCACAACAGACGCUGCACGGCGCCACCGGCCUCUCAGACACACACUCGACCACCGCCGCUGGCCACGUCACGGACGGUGACGUGACGCGUCACGGCCACCACGGCCGACGGUGACGUCACGUCAGCCGUCUGUCCUGUGUGUGACGUCACUGUCCGGCGGUGUGUGGACAUGGCUGUACCGCUGUCUGUGUGUCUGUCUGUGUGUGAGGUGUCCACCUCAGACGUGUCUCUGCUCUGUUCACAGGGGAGCUGUACCGUCAGCUGGAGAGCCAGUCCGGCGAUGGGGUCGGAGUGUAUUGGUGGAGGGAUUGAUGCGCUGCACUACCGACCGUGCAGUGAUGAGCUGACUGCAGAGAGGCCGAGCCAGUCGGCCGGGGCCGCCAGCUGACUGCUGCCGUGUGUGCUGCACCAGCCGGCACUGAGAGCGGCGCCGGUCAGCCGGCACACGGCCCCCGUGUCCGCUCUAGUGUAGUCAUGUAGUUGUAGUAGUAGUAGUGUAGAUGUAGUACUAGCACACGGGUGUGAUGUAUAGUGGGUAAUUACCGGGCGGGUAUUGUGGGUAAUUGGCUGGAGGGAUGUGACCCAGUGGGUAAUUACCGGGCGGGUAUUGUGGGUAAUGGGACAGUGAAAAGUGAUGUGAUUGAGUGUAGAAACUGAUCGCGACAUUGCGAUAUUUUGUAUAUGGAACCCACAUCUUAGCUGAGCUGUAUGAAUGCGGGCCAUCCCGGACCGUCCGACUCGGUUCACCGCGCCUGGUCCCGGCGGCACGGCCGGCCUCGGUCACGUGACCGUCCCCCGGUGGAGUCGGACGGCUCGGUCACGUGACCGCCGUGCCGGGUCGGCCGGCUCGGUCACGUGACCGCCGUGCCGGGUCGAACGGAUCGGUCACGUGACCGCCGUGCCGGGUCGGCUCGGCGGGCAGUCGGACGGGGACGCUGUCUCACCGGGCACCGAGGUGCACAGUAGUGAUGUCAAUUACAGAAAAUCAGAAUACCGAUUCCUAACUAAAUACCAACGAAAAUCCCGGGAAAAUACCGAAACCAAACCAACUUGGGAAAAUGAGGGAAAUACCAACUUUUUACCGAUUUAUUAGCCUCUUAUACAUUAGCGAGGGUUUAUGAUACCAACAAAAUACCAAACACAUUGCGAUUGAAACACCAAGUACCAAGUUGGUAUCGGUUUGGUAUCGGUAUACCAAAACGUUGGUAUCCGAUUGACAUCUCGAGUGCACAGCGCGCCAUGUUGAGUGCUCAGGGUGAGUGUUGUGACACUCACACGGACAGGUAUAUAUCAAUAUACUACUGGAUAACAGGCCGUCCGAGCUGUAUAGGCGGUGUCAGCUGAGACGGCGGCUCACAGCCGCGCCCGCCCACCCGCUCCGGCAAGCGGGUGUCUGUUCUACUCUCUGUCUACUAUACAUACACGAGAGGAGUUGCUUGAGCUGUAUCAUAUAUGUAGCCUUCAAUAAACCAAUGAGCAGUG